UACGGAGGGUGCAAGCGUUGCUCGGAAUCACUGGGCGUAAAGAGCGUGUAGGCGGUUUCGUAUGUCUGGCGUGAAAGCCCCGGGCUCACCCCGGGAAGUGCGCUGGAAACUGCGAAACUAGAGUCCCGGAGAGGAAGGUGGAAUUCCAGGUGUAGCGGUGAAAUGCGUAGAUAUCUGGAAGAACACCGGUGGCGAAGGCGGCCUUCUGGACGGUGACUGACGCUGAGACGCGAAAGCGUGGGGAGCAAACAGG
rnacentral:misc_RNA from 1 species